GACGAACCGUCCAAACGUUAUUCGGAAUCACUGGGCUUAAAGGGCGCGUAGGCGGCCGAGCGGGUCACGGGUGAAAUCCUCCAGCUUAACUGGAGAACUGCCCUUGAUACCACUGCGGCUCGAGGAAGGAAGGGGCAAUCGGAACUGUCGGUGGAGCGGUGAAAUGCGUUGAUAUCGACAGGAACGCCGGUGGCGAAAGCGGAUUGCUGGUCCUUUUCUGACGCUGAGGCGCGAAAGCCAGGGGAGCAAACGGG
rnacentral:rRNA from 2 species